AGAAAUUAAGAAAUGUUGGGCAGUGUUAUGCCAUGUAGUGUGGUCUAGAUAUGUGCCGUCCUAAUCAGCCCUCGCGUGUGCAGGUCGUGUGCCUUUGAGGACAGUGUGAGGCAUUACAAGCGGUAAGCAAAACACAAAAUUAAACAAAUGAGUAAUACAAACUAAAACAGAGCUUGACUUGUUGGGGUGUCUCAUAUGAAAGUUCCCUCAUGGUUCCGCUGGCUGUGAGCUCGUAGCCCUUGGGACAAAGGGUGUUAUUGAUGCGGGGCCCCAAGAUUCCACCGGUGUUCUUAAGGUUGAGGGUGCGUUCGGGUUUAGCAGUCCCAAUGCUCUUAAAAAAGUUGGGGCUUCUUCCAUGGAGGAUAGAACAUGCAAAGUUCCAUCUUGAGACACAGCUAAUGAGCCAUUCACUCCUCAUCGGUAUGCAAUUUUUGCUGCCCUCAGCUGGGUCGUGACUGGUCCAAAGGAUUUGCUUAGAAGGAGGAUGGCCCUCGUAAAGUCCCGGUAGAAGGUGAUUGUCUUCUUUUAAUGCAGAUAUAAUUUAGAGUUUGUCCGUUAGGGUGAUGCAUCUGAGAAUUACGUCUCGCUCCAAAGCAGUCUCGAGAGACGGUAGACACUGUCGAUGGUUAUUUUCUUGGCCACUGUAUGAGGCAGAAUAGUAGCCAGCAUUCUCAUGAUGUUAUCCACGGUAUGUCAAGCGAUUUUGUACUACAAUCAUGUCUUCCUCAGUCACUCUAAACCUCCUGCACCUCAGUUUUUAGAAGUGUGAAGUCUGUCACCUUUAGUUUGAGGAUGUCUGCUAAAAGGAGUUUUAAGCCCCUUUUGGUGGUUGGUGCUGAGUCGUCCGAUAGCUCAUGUGGCUCAGCCUGAGAGACUAGUGAGUGCUGUGAGCCCUCCGGCCUGGACAUGCAGAUCUUCCGCGGGAGUGGGUCUGGGUUGAGCGGGCCUUUGCAGCAUGGCCCCCAUAUCCCUUCCCUCCACCUGGGUUUGUGGUUUUUGAGAGUGCCGACCCAUGCCUGGCUUAUGUGCUGGUAAUGCAGUUGGUGUUGGGGUGUGUGGGAUCUCGGCACUAUUUGUGGCAAUGCCUCCCAGGAGUUCUUCCAGGCCUUGAAGCGUGUGGGAGGCCCCAGGUCUGUGCUUCCGUCGGGAUGGCUUUGGAACCAAAAAGAAAGGCAUCUAGCAAUGCUGUGUGCCCCUCUGAACCUGGCUAUGUAAGUGUGGUGGCUGGA